AUGCAGAUAGCCGUUAAGAAAGACAGAUGCAGACUGACGAUUAAUGAUCCUAAUUUCCGCAUUCCAUUUCUUCUCCUUAUAAACCCAUUUUCUGGUUUCAGAGGAAUACACUGCCACUCCGACAAUGUCAGGGUCCCAAAGCUCGUGCGCAUUUAUCAACUCAAACACGUAGAAAUGCGACGAAACGGCCGGAUCAAAGCCCAAACGUGUGGUGGCGACCUCGCUGGCGGCCUUGCCGGAGUCCGGCAACACGGUCCACUUCCGCGUGGCAGGAUUACACACGACAUAAUGGAACUCAUCACCCUGGGCGGAGGCGUCGUACCAGCGGCAGAGGAGGAGGCCGUUGCAGCAGUCGAGCAGAUGGACGCGGCGGUGGUUGGGCAGGAAGGCGCAGGACGUGUCGAUCGGAGGGGUGCAUCUCCCCGGGAAAUCGGCGAAGCGGACAGGGGAUUUCAGAAGCCACUCGCUGUAGCUGUCGCUGGUGGUGGUGCUGCCGUAGAAGAAGCCGGCCAGGGGUUGGGGAAGCUUUUUGCGGUGUUCGGGGUGGUGGAUGAGGGCCAGCCAGUGGUUGGAGACGCACUUGAAGCGGCAGAGCGACUUGACCGGGAGACGCGCGAGGAUCUCGACGAGGAGGUCGUCGGUGAGUCUCUCGACUGCCAUCCCGCCGUCGCUGUGGGGAGACGCGUACGGGAAACGAGACAAAGUGCGGCCUUUCUUCCGCGGGCUAGAGGUAUCCACGGGGUCGGACAUGGCGGCGGGAGGGAACGGCGUCGACGCCGUCGAGCAGAGCAGAGGGAGUGGGGAGUGAAACCUAGGUCAGGAUACCAGUGGACGGGACUGGGAUUGGGCCAUCGAAAGAUUGUAAAUGGGCUCAACUGUGGGGCAACUAGACUGGUUUGGAAGAAUAGGAUCCAAAGACAAAAUGAGGACAUUUACAUUUGA
rnacentral:rRNA from 1 species